AAUGAACGCUGGCGGCAUGCCUAACACAUGCAAGUCGAACGAGACCUUCGGGUCUAGUGGCCCACGGGUUCGUAACGCGUGGGAACCUGCCCUUAGGUUCGGAAUAACUCUCCGAAAGGGGUGCUAACACCGGAUCAUGUCUUCGCACCUAAGAUUUAUCGCCUUUGGAUGGGCCCGCGUUGGAUUAGCUAGUUGGUAGGGUAAAAGCUUACUAAUGCGACGAUACAUAGCUGGGCUGAGAGUCAGCUUAGCCACACUGGCAGUGGGACACGGCCCAGACUCCUACGGAAGGCGGGAAUGGGGGAUAUUGGACGAUGGAGGGAGGGCUGAAGCAGUACGGCUGCGUAAGUGAUGAAAGUGUUAGGGUUGUAAAGCGCUUUUACCCGGGAUGAUAAUGACAGUACCGUGAGAAUAAGCUCCGGCUAACUCCGUG
rnacentral:rRNA from 1 species